AUGCAAGUCGCACGAGAAAGGGAGCAAUCCUGAGUAAAGUGGCGUACGGGUGAGUAACACGUGGAUCAUCUACCUUUUAGUGGGGAAUACCUCCGGGAAACUGGAGACAAUACCGCAUAAGCUCGUGAGAGGAAAGCCGAAAGGCGCUGAAAGAGGAGUCCGCGGCUGAUUAGUUUGUUGGCGGGGUAACGGCCCACCAAGACGAAGAUCGGUAGCCGGCCUGAGAGGGCACACGGCCACACUGGCACUGAAACACGGGCCAGACUCCUACGGGAGGCAGCAGUGGGGAAUCUUGCACAAUGGGGGAAACCCUGAUGCAGCGACGCCGCGUGAGCGAUGAAGCCCUUCGGGGUGUAAAGCUCUUUCGACGGGAACGAUAAUGACGGUACCCGAAGAAGAAGCUGCGGCUAACUACGUGCCAGCAGCCGCGGUAAUACGUAGGCAGCAAGCGUUGUUCGGAAUUACUGGGCGUAAAGAGUGUGUAGGCGGUGUUCUAAGUCUGUUGUGAAAUCUCCCGGCUCAACUGGGAGGGUGCGGCGGAGACUGGAAUGCUAGAGUAUGGGAGAGGUAAGCGGAAUUCCUGGUGUAGCGGUG
rnacentral:rRNA from 1 species